UCAGUGCCCUACUCAGGAAGGCAUCAUUCACAUAGAUGGAUUUGUGAAUGGCACCUUUCUGAGUAGAGUAAUGUG
rfam:Ailuropoda melanoleuca scaffold460_55, whole genome shotgun sequence.